GACGAACGCUGGCGGCGUGCCUAAUACAUGCAAGUAGGACGCAGUUGCGAACGGGUGAGUAACGCGUAGGUAACUACCUAUUAGAGGGGGAUAACUCUUGGAAACGAUAGCUAAUACCGCAUACUAGUAGCUGGACCUGCGUUGUAUUAGCUAGUAGGUAGGGUAAUGGCCUACCUAGGCAACGAUACAUAGCCGACCCGAGGGGGGGAUGGGCCACACUGGGACUUAGGCACGGGCCAGACUUCUACGGGAGGGAGCAGUAGGGAAACUUCGGGAAUGGGGGGAACCCGGACCGAGCAACGCCGCGGGAAGGAAGAAGGUUUUCGGAUCGUAAAGCUCUGUUGUUAAGGAAGCGGUACUUAACCAGAAAGGGACGGCUAACUUCGUGCCAGCAGCCGCGGUAAUUC
rnacentral:rRNA from 1 species